ensembl:lncRNA
GUGAGCUUGGGCGGCUGUUGAGCCUCGGGGUAGGAGGAGGGACCUGUGAUUACUGAGCCCUUCCAGCCCCCGCCUCCUUCCCUCCCUCUACCUAUUCUCCCCUUCAGUCCUACCACUUCCUUGAGACUCAUGGUUGCCCCCAUGGCCACCUUCCUCCCCCAGGGUGACCGUGCCUUCCUCCCUUUGAACCCUGCCAGCACUGGGGGCUUCAUCUCUGACUGGCUCAGAGCAGGACUCCAACCCACCUGUGGUUUUUUUGACCUUUCCCACCUGUGUGCCCUCCCUGCCCUUUAGACUCUUCCUUUCCCCACUUGAUUUGGUGCCUGAGGUCCCUUCUAGGGGACCUGGCCCCUGACAGUUUGUCCUGAAUCUCUCCAGGAUCAGAGAUGGUGUCAUUCUCACUUCCCUCCCCCUCCAGUGCCUAGCUAGGUGCUAACAAGAAUCAGGUGUUUAAUCAUUGCUUUGAGGUGCUGCAGGGAAUGGAGUGCUGGGCCUGAGCCAGGACGCAGCCUGCGCUCCUUCCUAGUGGUCACCUUUUUGCCUCAGUUUCCUCAUCUGUAAAACAGGGAUCACGGUAGUGCUGCUCACCAAGAUGUGUGUACGUAUAUAAAAAAUGUUCACGUCUGUGCGACUCUAUCUCUGGAGACCAUUUGGGGUUUCCUUGGCAGAAAUAUCCUUCUCCAGCUCAUUUGACAGAUAAGGAAACUGAGGCACAGGGUGAAAUGACUCACCCACUGUCACCCAGCUGGGCUGGAUUUGAACACAGGAACAAGAAACUUCUUACUCCCAGCCCGGCCCUCUGUCCCCCUCAGUCCCUGCCCUCAACUAGCUUACAGACUGACGGGAGAGACCACACAAAAGGGGGGACAGCGCCAGGGGGUCGGUCAUCUUGCCCUGUGGAUGCACAGCGGAGUCGCUUGUGGCCCUGAUGUUGGGAGUUUGCGCCCUGCCCCCGGCCCAGUUGGGCGAAGUCCACGGAGGCUUUAGCUGAGAUGAGAAGGGCUGAGCUGGCCCUGGGAGGGGCCCCUGGUCCUGGGCGGCAGACGCCAAGCGGAGUCAUUACACAAACAGCCCAACAAGACAAGAAGCGGCUGGGCCGUGAAAGGCCGGAUCAUCCCCGCUCGGGCAGUCGGCCCGCUGGCCUCUUCCUGACCCAGGAUGGGGUUUUCCUUGGCACGGAUUUGACAUUUCCUUCUCACGGAUGAGAAAACAGGUAAAGUGACUUGCCCAGAGUCACCUGACAGGUAAGGAGUGUCUGGGGCUGGCCCUGAACUUGGGUCUUCCUGGCUCCGGCCCGGCAGCUGGAAUCGGAGGCCCGAGUUCCAAUCCAUCCGUCCCCAGACACUGGCGGGGUGGCCCUGGGCUGAUCAUUUAACCUGCUAGUCCAGAAGGGAAUGGCACAGCAGCGUCCCUGCCAGCCCCGGUCCUGUCUGCCGGCGUGGGAAGGCCCGUGGGAGCUUGGGGAAGAUGCUCAUUCACCGUCCUCCAAACAAGACCGAAUCCCGAUGGCGCCCGCCCCGGGGCGUUCUCUCUGCCGCCAACGCCCUCGCAAUCCGCAGGAUUCAGAGCUAGAGGGGGAGGGGCUUGGUGUAGGUCAUAGGUCAAGAGCUACAAAGGCUCUCGGGCCCUGAUUUUUCAGAUGAGGAGGCCCAGGAAGGCCCGUUGGCGGAAAGGACUAUGGGUGGGGGUGGGAGACAUCUCAGAGCCUUCCGCGUGCCACAUUUUACAGAUGGGGAACCCAAGGCGAGCGGAGGGGAAAGUAACUGGCCCGUUUCCCGCCCAGGCCGGCGGGCUUGGCCCAGGAGGACCCGGCUCCCUUUGACACUGUUAGCGAUGAGCCGUUUCCGCUUCCUGCCGGAGCGAGUCCAGCCGGGCUUCCUGCAGGAGACGGGAUGAGCCUUGAGAGGGGGGCGCAGGGAGCUGGGGGGUUCCAAGAGCCCGAGAUCAUCCUCCCCCCCUCCCCCCACACACACACAGCGCUGGGCACGGAGGCUGCUCCUAUGCUCCGUCCCGGCUCGCCCGGCGCCGCGUUUCAGAGCCAGGGCUCGGGUCCCCGGCUGGGAGAGUCACGGAGCCUUGUGCGGGGGAGGAGACGGAGGCUGCGGUCGCUUAAUGUCACAAGGUGUGAGUAGCCGCAUCUGGA